rnacentral:rRNA from 1 species
UUUUUAUGAGAGUUUGAUCCUGGCUCAGGACGAACGCUGGCGGCGUGCCUAAUACAUGCAAGUAGAACGCUGAAGUCUGGUGCUUGCACUAGACGGAUGAGUUGCGAACGGGUGAGUAACGCGUAGGUAACCUGCCUCAUAGCGGGGGAUAACUAUUGGAAACGAUAGCUAAUACCGCAUAACAGUAUUUACCGCAUGGUAGAUGCUUGAAAGGAGCAACUGCUUCACUAUGAGAUGGACCUGCGUUGUAUUAGCUAGKUGGUGAGGUAACGGCUCACCAAGGCUUCGAUACAUAGCCGACCUGAGAGGG